rnacentral:rRNA from 1 species
UACGUAGGGUGCAAGCGUGUCCGGAAUUAUUGGGCGUAAAGAGCUCGUAGGCGGUCUGUCGCGUCUGCUGUGAAAUCUCAGGGCUUAACCCUGAGCUUGCAGUGGGUACGGGCAGACUAGAGUGCGGUAGGGGAGACUGGGAAUUCCUGGUGUAGCGGUGAAAUGCGCAGAUAUCAGGAGGAACACCGGUGGCGAAGGCGGGGUCUCUGGGCCGUAACUGACG